GUCUACGGCCAUACCACCCUGAAUGCUCCCGAUCUCGUCUGAUCUCGGAAGCUAAGCAGGGUCGGGCCUGGUUAGUACUUGGAUGGGAGAAUGUGCACAGCUGCUGUCC
rnacentral:rRNA from 2 species